rnacentral:rRNA from 1 species
UACGUAGGGACCAAGCGUUGUUCGGAUUUACUGGGCGUAAAGGGCGCGUAGGCGGCGUGACAAGUCACUUGUGAAAUCUCCGGGCUUAACCCGGAAAGGUCAAGUGAAACUGUCGUGCUAGAGUACAGAAGGGGCAACUGGAAUUCUCGGUGUAGCGGUGAAAUGCGUAGAUAUCGAGAGGAACACCUGCGGCGAAGGCGGGUUGCUGGGCUGAUACUGACGCUGAUGCGCGAAAGCCAGGGGAGCGAACGGG